rnacentral:rRNA from 1 species
CCUACGGGUGGCAGCAGUGGGGAAUAUUGGGCAAUGGGCGAAAGCCUGAUCCAGCGACGCCGCGUGAAGGAAGAAGGCUUUCGGGAUGUAAAGCUCUUUCUGCAGGGAAGAAAAUGACGGUACGUGUGUCGAAAGCCCCGGCUAACUACGUGCCAGCAGCGGCGGUAAUACGGAGGGGGCAAGCGUUAUCCGGAUUUACUGGGUGUAAAGGGAGCGUAGACGGGGGGGAAAGUCUGGAGUGAAAGGCGGGGGCUCAAACCCCGAACUGCUCUUGAAACUGUAGGGCUGGAGUGCAGGAGAGGUAGGCGGAAUUCCUGGUGUAGCGGUGAAAUGCGUAGAUAUUA